GGACAUUUAAGGCUGUUCCUAGUGGCAAUGGGGCUGGCUCAGCACAUCCGUUGUCAGUCACUUUCUCUUUUCUAAGUACUUUCUGUGCCAUUUAAGCAGACGAUGGUGACACUGGUGUUAAGCGUGCGACUUCUACAGCCUACACUGCCGGCAUAGGGAGGGACCCAGGAGGUUGCAAGGUGUUUUAAUGUCCUUCCUCUCUUGCCAGCACUACUUUUUGCUCUUGCGUUUUGUUUUGUUUUGUUUUGCAAAAGAGGCAACAGCGAUCUGCAGACUCUGCUUUCUGCCUUGUACCAGAGAGCCACAGUAUAUGUUCGAUCAUGUAACACACUGGUGUUUAGUUCAUUCUUGCUGCGAAAGAAGGCCAUUGUACUUCCUGACCCCAAAAGCAAGUUAGCACAACUGAACUGUGGGGCGUGUGGCCAAUGCUGAGGCUGAGGAGAGAGAGAUGGGCGUCAGGGGGGAUGUGGCCAGGAGGAAAUAAGAGCAAAUUCCUCCAAAACGCUCUGACAGGAAAUGACAGAGUAUCAGUCUCCUACCACUCCACUCGGCCGCUUCUGGAGGGAAAAAGGCCUUCCUAAUCACGGAGCGGAGCCAGAGCGCAGUAGGGACGGUGGCUGCUACAUGCAGUUUCAGAUCAAUCUGCUAUCGUCACUGUGCCUGAGACCCAAAUAAUUUCUCUGUCAACUCUGGACACUUUGAAGUGAGUGGGGACUUUUUUGAUUGGCAUAAACUGCCUGCAUGCAUCCAGAGGACAGAGAAUCAACAGUGAUAACCCUCCUCCCUCCCACUCCAUCUGUAUCAUUUUGCUAAAAAGCCUUAGAGGAAAUGUGUCUUCUUCAAGCAGAAAAAAUUUAAUUUUGGCUGAAUUGAAUGAGAGAAGCCAGGACUAUUCAAAUGGCCUCUGUAUUCUGUCAUUGGCACAAAGGCGAAGACAAGGCCCUGGAUCCUAAGUAGGAAUCUACCUGGACUCACAGCAGUGUCCGCCUGCUGGACAGAAUCUCUUGAACCCCUGGGGUAAUAUCAUGACCCCAGGGGACUGUGGUGAAAGAGAGGAAUGCUGGAUCUUCUCUUCUGGAACAGACAUUGCAGAGGAAGAGAUGGAUGAUGAACAGAGAGAAAACAAAAUUUUAAAAAUGAGAAAAAGAUUUCAAAGAAAAUGUGGGAGUCCAUGGAGAGAGCUGGACAGAACGGCAAAGACAUUGAGAACACGGGAUUAUCAGAGUGAGAGGAAGGUGUGGUGGCCGGAGCUGCAGCAGCCUAAGGAGCAGAGAGGACGCCAGGAUCAGAAGGAUGUCACCGGGAAGCCACAGGCUGUGUUGAGUGGUAGCCAGUGGUGACGGUGGUGGCAGGCCUUGAAUACAGAGUUUACUGUAGGGAAGGAAGACCACUAACAGUUUUGGGUAGGAGAAUGAUGUCAUAAAAAUGGCUUUUUAUGAGGAUUAGUCAAGUGGUGUGUGAGAAAAAGUAGCUCUUUGUUGGCAAAGACACAAGUGCUAUGCCCAUAGCAUAGCAAUUGUCUAAGCAUGAGGAAGUGCUAAUACUGCUCAAGAGAGUGUACAACCACAAGGAUUUAAUAAUUCUCUGGUGAAUUAGGAAAACUAUUUUUAAAUGUCCCAAAGUAUUCAAACAAUCAGCCACAGCUGCUUUCCUUUCUCAAAAAUAACUCAGAAUUAAACUUGGCUCUCAACACACAUGAAAAACAAAAUUAGUCAAUUAUGUAAAAUCCAGGGCAAUACCUUACAUUUAAU
ensembl:lncRNA